AAAAAAAUACGAAAAAAUAUGGGUCUAAUAGUUUGCGACAAAGAACUAAAUUUCCACUUUCCACAAAAAUCUGAGAACCACUAUAUCGGUUUGACAUGGAAUGGUUGUAUUUGUGAUUUUUUCCAAAACUUUAACAGUGUUGCGCUGUACAAAAAAUAUUUAUUCCCAAAUUUGUGUUUUUUUAGAAUUUUAUGACUGAGUACUGGUUUAAUCUAUAUUCAACCCCUUAACGACCAAGCUGAAAAAAAUAUUUUUUAACGAAAGACAUUGGUGUAAUUUUUAUUAUGUUAUGGGCGUUACAGGAACCCCAAUCUUUAGUAAUAUUUUUUUCCGUUCUUCAGUGUUACGGUAAAUGACAAAAAAUCGUCAAACAAAAGCAUUGGCCAAACCCUACAUUUUUCAUCCUGUAGAAGGUUCAACAUUCACAAAAGAAAUGGUGUAGAGAAGUUUACAAUUUUUUGCAUUUUCUUGGGCUUUAUUUUUGUUAGGUUAUGUACUUUCCGCACAUAGUUGCUCUAAACCAAAUUGAUGGCCCAAUAAAGUUAUACAAAAUAUAAAGAAAUUCAUAGUAAGUGGUAGCUGAGAAACUAAACUAUCAUUUGAUGCCAACCAUGUGGUUGCUGUUGAAUUCAUCAAAAUUGGAGAAGUGCUAAUCAACCAGGCCAUGUUGUAUCGAGCGAAAAAGGCAGUAAUCGGACGGAGCAAUGUCUGGAGAAUACGGUCUUCCCAUUUCAGCGUUUCCAAGUAUGUUUUGACCGGUAUCGCGACAUGCGUCCUUUGCUCGUAUUAGGGCCGUUCUUCCUUCAGUGCACAGCGUGCAUGUGUUUGAUCGUAUCAAUGGUCGUCGGUAGAGGUCCCCCGUAAUGGUUUCAUUCGGUUUUAGCAGCUCAUAGUACACCACACCCAGCUGGUCCCACCAAAUAGACAGCAUAUCCUUCUGGGCGUGAAUAUUCCGCGCGGCCGUCGAUGUUGAUGCAUGGCCGUGGUAUCCAUACAUUGCCCGACGUUCAGGAUAGGCGUAAUGUACCUACUUUUCAUCGCCAGUAACGAUUCGAUGCAAAAACCCCUUUUUUUAUGCCGUUGGAGCAGUUGUUCGCACGUGAAAAAACGGCGUUCGACGUCUUGUGGCUUCAAUUCAUAUAUGAUAUGGUUUGCUGAGCUACUCCACGUGUAUCUGCAAGUUCUUGUUGCGUUUGUGACGGAUCUUGAUCGAGUAAAGCCUCCAAUUCUUCAUCUCCGAACUUUUUUUGGCGGUCCGGAACGUUCUUCGUUUUCCAAGUCAAAAUUACCACUUUUAAACCGUGCAAACCACGUCUGACACGUUCGCUCAGUUGAAGCAUGGUCACCAUAAACCUCCACCAAAAUGCGAUGACUUUUCGCAGCUUUUUUUUCUUCAUAUUGAAGUAAUGAAGUAACACUCCCCACAAAAACACUCUCGUUGGUACGAAAUUCGACAUAUUCGAAGUGGCAAAAAACUAUGUUGUGUACGCUUCAACUUUUUGACACAUACUGAAAAAAAGCGCAAUGACAGUAGCUUUCCAACGAAUGUCUGGAAAUUUGAUUCACUGUAAUAAUAAUCAAGUCACGCCAUCUGUUGUAAAACCGAGGAAACUUACCGGUACACCUAAUAUAUUCACCUGUUCCUGUUUGAAAAAGUGCUCCCAAACAUUAUCACCAGAGCUAUGGAAAAUAAUGUAUAGGGUAUCAAAUUAGAAAAUUAGGUAAUUAGCAUAGAAGCUGAAAUUUUCGCCCACACGUGAUUUCUUCAAAUUUCGAACUCAACAGAAUAGAACAAAGUUAUUGCAUGUUGGAAUUGUUCUAUGGAACAACUUUAUAAAAAUAACAUUUUCGAACAAUCCAUCCGAACUUUUGGUCUAUUGAAAUCGCUUCUCGCCGACCCUGUAUGAAAAACAUGUGCCGAGAAUGAGCGCAUCACGCGGUUCGUCCAACAAACUUGCCAAUAAAAUUCGACAAAAAAUUGUCGCCGGUGUGAGAGACAAGCACAGUGUAUGUUCCUAAAUGCAAUACCACGUUGAGGAUGAAUAUGUGCGUGAUUAUUCCUUCGAGCCGGAGAUCAUCCUGAGACGCAAGGAUUCUCUCACUACCCAGCGGGAAAAUUACCAUCACAGGAAACGACUGAAACGGCGAAAGCAGUUCAAACAGCGACAAAUCGUGUUUUUGACCCAAUCCCAAGACCUGGAUGUUGGUGGUCCCUCACAAAGUAGCGCCGAGGCGUCGAGUUGUUCACCGGGGCUGGACGUUUCGCCCACAAAUGUAGAUUCCGCUGACGAUUUGGACUCGGAUGACAGAGAGGAAAUCCAGCGGAGUCCCAUCGACGUUCAGAUAGAAGAGUUUUACUGCAUGUAUGGCCGCUACACGAAAGAUCUAGGAGAAUACGCCAAAGAUGAAGCGCGAAGACUCAGGCUUCUUGAACGAAGAAGAAAAAAAGACGAUAAAGCAAGAAACAAGGAGCUGUUGGGAGUGCGGGAUAAUAAGUUUUUUAAAGCCUCCUCAUGGCUCUGGCGGAAUACAUUCGCGAGGCUCGGCGAAGACUGGGUGUUCCUGGCCCUACUCGGCAUCAUCAUGGCGCUGCUGUCUUACGUGAUGGAUAAGGGCAUCGCAAUGUGUACGAAUUCCCGUGUAUGGCUGUAUCGAGAUCUCACCAACCAUCCGGUGGCCCAGUACCUGGCCUGGGUGUCGCUACCAGUGUGCCUUAUUCUUUUCUCUGCCGGCUUCGUUCACCUGGUGGCCCCGCAGAGCAUAGGCUCCGGCAUUCCGGAAAUGAAGACUAUUCUCCGUGGCGUUGCGCUCAAGGAGUACCUCACCUUCAAAACGCUCGUCGCGAAGGUGAUAGGCCUAACGGCAACCCUGGGCUCGGGGAUGCCCCUCGGCAAGGAGGGUCCCUUUGUACAUAUAGCUAGUAUAGUAUCGCAGUUGUUAAGUAAAAUCAUAACAUCAUUCCAAUCGAUCUACGAGAAUGAGUCUCGCAACACCGAAAUGCUGGCAGCGGCCUGUGCCGUUGGUGUGGGAUCCUGCUUCGCCGCGCCGGUAGGCGGUGUGCUGUUCAGUAUUGAAGUCACGACGACCUACUUCGCCGUCCGAAACUACUGGCGGGGUUUUUUCGCGGCCGUCUGCGGUGCCACCGUAUUCCGGCUGCUGGCGGUGUGGUUCCAGAAGGCAGACACCGUGACGGCACUGUUCGCAACCAACUUCACUGCCGACUUCCCCUUCGAUCCACAGGAGCUGUUCGUCUUUGCGUUGAUCGGUCUCGUCAGUGGUCUCGGUGGCGCAUUAUAUGUGUGGGUACACAGGAAAUACGUACUUUUCAUGAGGUCCAACAAAAGAAUGAACAAAUUUCUUCAGAAAAACCGUUUCCUGUAUCCCGGAAUCGUGUCACUGAUUGUGGCGACCCUUUCAUUCCCUCAUGGCUUCGGCCAGUUCAUAGCCGGCGAGCUGAGUACCCACGAGCAGGUCCAUCAGCUAUUCUCGAACUUCACCUGGAGCAAGUAUGAUCUCACCGUGGAGCAGGCCGCCAUCGUGUCCAAUUGGCGAACGGCUUACACCGAUGUUUUUACAAACUUGAUUGUUUAUCUGUUGUUUACGUUUUUCUUCUCCAUUGUUGCCUCGACCAUUCCGGUUCCCUCGGGUAUAUUUAUCCCUGUGUUCAAGAUAGGAGCUGCCUUCGGUCGUCUCAUUGGCGAGGCGAUGCACCUGUGGUUCCCAUACGGUGUACGUUACGGUGGUAAACUGGCGCCGAUUAUCCCGGGUGGCUAUUCUGUAGUAGGAGCGGCCGCUUUCUCAGGUGCUGUAACCCACACAGUAUCAGUGGGUGUGAUUGUGUUCGAAAUGACGGGCCAGAUUACACACAUCGUACCGGUGAUGAUUGCUUCGUUGGUGUCAAAUGCAGUGGCAGCGUUAUUGCAGCCCUCCAUGUACGAUAGCAUUAUACUAAUCAAAAAAUUACCUUACCUGCCCGAUUUGCUGCCAAGUGGAUCCGGUAUGUACAAUAUCUAUGUGGAAGAUUUUAUGGUUCGUGAAGUAAAAUACAUCUGGAAGGGAAUCUCGUACCAAAGGUUGAAGGAAAUUCUGAAAACAAACAAAGGAUUAAGAAGCCUUCCGAUCGUUGAUAGCCCUGAUAAUAAGGUCCUUCUGGGCAGCGUUCAACGAUACGAACUGAUCAAAAUGAUCGACAAACAUAUCGGCCGUGAGAAACGAUUGGAAGUAGCCGCAAAAUGGUUAAAGGAGGCAGAAGAGAAAGCACGAGAGGAACACGAGCGACUACAGAGGGAAGCCGAAGAGCAUAUAAAAUCACGCCGUCCAUCUCGUUUUGAAGUCAGCCCAGCGCCGGAUAUCCUCAAGCUCCGUGAGCGAGCCAACAACGAAAUGUUACCACCUCAAGCCAAGAAAGACUCCGCGUAUAGUCCAGUCUUCGGCACACAGCCGAAGAAAUCCAUCCUCAAAAAGACCAACUCAUUUACGCUGAAGGGAUUCACACCUCUUUCGCCACAUAGUCCGGUUCAAACGCCCUACACAACGAUUACCGGGACGGAAAGCCGAAUCCGAUCAGCCUUCGAUAUCAUUUUCCGCAAAUCAGCCACGCUUCAGGACGUUACUCCGGAUCCGGAAAUCGGAUCCAUCGGAACGCCUAGCAUUAGUGGGACAGAAAUACCGCUCACUCCCGGAAUCUCCAAGAAGGUGCAGCUACCGAGGGAACGUGUCAUCGAUAUGUCUCCCGAGGAUCAAAAAGCCUGGGAACUGGAGGAGAUGACCAAACCAAUCGAUGUGGACCAUCUGCAUAUAGAUCCAGCUCCAUUCCAACUAGUCGAACGAACAUCGAUUCUGAAAGUGCACUCACUUUUCUCGAUGGUCGGUAUCAAUCAUGCGUACGUGACUAAUGUCGGUCGACUGGUCGGAGUGGUCGCCCUGAAAGAGCUACGUGUGGCAAUUGAGAACGUGAACAGUGGAACUCUGACGCCAGAAACAGUGAAACAGCGACAGGAAGAGGAAGCGUUAGCAAAGGCUCAAAAAGAGUCGGAAAACAACAACGCAACCCCCGAGGAUCCCCUUCUGCCGAAAGGAGUUGGUGACAACUACAGUGAUAAGAAAGUAAAUACUACCAUAACAUCUAUGGACUCGGCGUUAUCCAAUUCGGAUAACUGCUCUGAAAUCGAAUUAGAGAAUAUCAGGUUAACACAUGAUAAGAAUAGCAACAACAAUAAUAGCAACGGGAACCACAAUAACAACACAAACAGUAACGGUGGCGUUCAACAGCAGUAGUGCUCGAUGGUUCAAUUUUACCGUCUGAACACCUAUUAUUGUCAUCGGUACACCUCUGAUUUGUUUAUGACAAUAGUGACACUUUGACACACGCAUAGACACACACAUUCAAUCCAAUCCACUCAUACGUGCAUAUCAUCGUACCACACAAACAGAACUAUGCAACAAACGCUAAUAGGAAAUUCGUCAGGUUUCGCAUGUAGGCCUUUAUCGGCUGUCGGCUUGGAACAUUGAACAAGAUAUUUAUGGAGUAAGUAUGGAUCAGCGGAUAGUCGAUAUUCUGCAGAGCUGGUGAGCCUUUCCUCUCUCCCCGUGGGAAUUUUACGCUGAUUUACGCGAAAGUUGUGAUUCUAAUUUUAGCCUCUAGAAGUUUAAGAUUAUUAUUUUUACCUUUAUGAUUGACAUUAUUAUCUGUUGAAUUUUGACCACAGGGAACCCGAGAGAGGGAAUGUUACAGUCUUUUUAUAAAGAAGGAUGAGGAGCUUGUUAAUGCGCGCGAAUUUCGAGAUAAAUACUUGAUAGAUGUGUAAGGUUAUCUCCGUAACUACUCGUGCCGACAGCAGAAUCCGUGAUCAAUUGCAAGUUUCACCGUAUGUUGUAUCGUUGUAAUUAUUUAAUGGGGCCAAAGUAAUCCCCACCCACUUUGAUAGGAAAUUACGAUACAGUUAUUAUUCAUUUAUGUAGGGACAAACGAAACGCUAAUAUUUAAUAAAUUUGUAACUAUGUCAACUACACUGUGCCUCGUUGGAAACGAUAGCUAUAGUAAACACUGAUUACUGAAAAAAGACAUUUUUCGUCCAAAUUGUAGAACGAAUGUGAUGUGGUGGGUUCAGCCCACAGUAUCUGCCAAACUGGCCAGGAAUUAUUUCAGUCUUACGGGGCAGCUUAGUCAGGGAAGGCGAAAAUAUUGUUAUGAAGUUUCGUUCGUCAUAUUGAGCGAGCGUCAAGUUCGGAACAACCGAAUGAAAUAAAUUAAGACAUAAAUUAUUGA